UAUUUGUUUUGUAUGUAUUUUGAUAGUUUGUUUUAAUGCCGAGUCGCUCGUACACAGGAAUUUGUGGACAUUUUGUGGGAGUGUUCUGGGCGUUACUGCAUCCUUGCUUUGUAGAUAAGUGGGCCAGUUAGCCAGAUUAAACACAUUCGUUUCUACCCUUAAUCAAGUCUAGGCUGAUGUUUGGGGAAUUGGGAGCUAUAAUCACUGCUUCACUGGGAGUUUGGGAGAACUACAGUGGAUAUACUCAGCCGGAGUAUAGGGGAUCCGUUACACAAAC